rnacentral:rRNA from 1 species
AUUGAACGCUGGCGGCAGGCCUAACACAUGCAAGUCGAGCGGUAGAGAGGUGCUUGCAUCUCUUGAGAGCGGCGGACAGGUGAGUAAUGCCUAGGAAUCUGCCUAGUGGUGGGGGAUAACGUUCGGAAACGGACGCUAAUACCGCAUACGUCCUACGGGAGAAAGCGGGGGAUCUUCGGACCUCGCGCCAUUAGAUGAGCCUAGGUCGGAUUAGCUAGUUGGUGAGGUAAUGGCUCACCAAGGCGACGAUCCGUAACUGGUCUGAGAGGAUGAUCAGUCACACUGGAACUGAGACACGGUCCAGACUCCUACGGGAGGCAGCAGUGGGGAAUAUUGGACAAUGGGCGAAAGCCUGAUCCAGCCAUGCCGCGUGUGUGAAGAAGGUCUUCGGAUUGUAAAGCACUUUAAGUUGGGAGGAAGGGUAGUAACCUAAUACGUUGCUACUUUGACGUUACCGACAGAAUAAGCACCGGCUAACUUCGUGCCAGCAGCCGCGGUAAUC